AUGGACAUGGAGGAGGCCAGGCAUUGUCGCUCUGCCACCUUGCUCAUGUCCUUCCUCUCCCUCGCAUUUCUCAUAUGGCCACCUCCAAUGGCGGCCGCCACCCAGGAGAUGAAGUCUAUUUACGCCGGCUCGAGGGUCAUACCGGUGCGGUUGGCCCGGCCGGCGUUCGGCCCGGAGAGCAUCGUCUUUGACCACCGCGGCGGCGGCCCGUACACCGGCGUUUCCAACGGUCGCGUCGUCCGGUGGAGGGGCAACCGCCGCCACCGCGGCUGGACCGAGUUCGCCCACAACUACAAGCACAAGACGGUGGCGGAGUGCGCGGCGAGGAAGAAGGUGGUGGAGCCGGAGAGCGCGUGCGGGCGGCCGCUGGGCCUGCAGUUCCACCACGCGUCGGGCGACAUGUACAUCGCGGACGCGUACCUGGGGCUGAUGAGGGUGGGGCGGUGCGGCGGGCUGGCGGAGGUGGUUGCCACGGAGGCCGACGGCUUGCCCUUCAACUUCCUCAACGGGGUCGACGUCGACCAGGAGACCGGCGACGUCUACUUCACGGACAGCAGCACCGUCUACCAACGGAGCGAGUACAUGCUGGUGGUGCUGACCGGCGACGCGACGGGGCGGCUGAUGAGGUACGACCCGCGGACGGGCAACGUCACCGUGCUCAGGUCCGGCCUGGCCUUCCCCAACGGCGUGGCCGUCAGCGCCGACGGGACGCACCUCGUCGUGGCCGAGACGUCCUCGUGCAGGCUGCUCCGGCACUGGCUGCGCGGGCCCGCGGCGGGGGUGACGGAGGUGCUCGCCGACCUGCCGGGGUACCCGGACAACGUUCGCCCCGACGGAGGCGGCCGGGGCGGGUACUGGGUGGGCAUGAACCGGGACAAGCAGUGGGCAGAGAGCGGGACCACGGCCAACUCCAUGAGCGCCGUCAGGGUCGUCGUCGCCACGAACGGCACGGUGGUCGAGGCGCUUCGCGGGUUCGGCGACGCCACGGUGAGCGAGGUGGUGGAGCGGAACGGGUCGCUGUGGAUCGGCUCCGUCGACACGCCCUACGUCGGCCUGUUCAAGCUCGCAUCUCUACCGCAAUGCGGUGGGUAA
rnacentral:rRNA from 1 species